CGCCCCCCCACCCCGGGAGGAACUCCGGGGACCCCGGAGCCCCGCGCCGCUUCCCUGCGAGGCCUCGCCGGAGCUCGCUCUCUCGGCCGUCCCGCGAGGACCCUGCCCGCUGCCCCCCCCCCCCCGUCCCGCGCGCCGUGGGGGGGGCGGGGCGGCGCGUGGGGGUGGGGCGCGGGCCGAGGCGAGACGUGGCGGACCGGGCCGCCGGAGCAGUGCCUGGGUUUCAGCCUUGUGGCUCAGUUGCCUUCGCAGACCGGAGCAGUGUGGAGGGGCUGAAAAGGACGAUGAGGACACCACCUGGGAGAGAUGGAGAUGCUUCUAUGGGCCACAAGUGGCUUUCAAGGAAGCCUUGAUGACGUAGGCAAGCAUACCAGUCACCACCCGUGAGCUUCUCUUUUUGCCUCUGGUUUCUUUCUUUUAAAUCUGUGACAUUUAAGAACUGAAGAAAAAAGCUAGAUUGUCUGAAUGGUCCCAUCUUUUUUUUUUCUUACUGUGAUUAAGCAUUGGUACAAAGAAGUUAAAGUUUGAUGUUUCCAUAAGAAUGUCUAGAGCUGCUUUUUGUUAAUAAACUUCAAACUAUUGGGAAGACUGGUGAUCGUGACUACAGGAGAGACUGUGAUAUUCCCCAGAGCUCUGACAGAUGAAGAAUCUUGAAAUGCGGGAGAUUUCAGAGAGCUAUCGGCCCCUGUGCUAGCCUCUUGAGCUGGCUUCUUUGACCCCAAGAAGUGUUCGCUCCUCUUUAAUGCAGAGCCCACAAUUUGGUGGAGUUAACCAGGCUAGUUUUAUAUUUAAAAGAGCAACUCAGAGACUUGGAUAGAAAGAUGAGAAUAGCCAUAGCACAGAGGGCAUGGUACAAAGCACAGAUGUCUAGUCCUUACGCUAAAUGACCAGGCCAUCCUAUGCUGCCAGCAUGUGCACUGGAAACUCCGCCAUGAUCACUUUGGUGCAGUCUGACCUCCACUCACAUCCACCCGGGGUUCCUCAUGCUUCCGGGGUCCGCUCGAGGGAUGUACUCUCUCUGCCAGCUGUUCCAGGCAGGCUGACGUAGG
rnacentral:lncRNA from 1 species